rnacentral:rRNA from 1 species
UUUGGAGAGUUUGAUCCUGGCUCAGAGUGAACGCUGGCGGCAUGGUUAAGACAUGCAAGUCGAACGAAAAGCAAAUCUUCGGAUUUGUGGAAAGUGGCGAACGGGUGCGUAACACGUGAGCAACCUGCCCUAAAGUGCGGAACAGCCUGUCGAAAGAUGGAUUAAUGCCGCAUGUGGCUCUUCUUCGCAUGGAGAAGUAGCUAAAGCUUGUAAUGGCGCUUUAGGAUGGGCUCGCGGCCUAUCAGCUUGUUGGUAAGGUAACGGCUUACCAAGGCUAAGACGGGUAGCUGGUCUGAGAGGAUGAUCAGCCACACCGGGACUGAGACACGGCCCGGACACCUACGGGUGGCAGCAGUUUCGAAUCAUUCACAAUGGGCGAAAGCCUGAUG